rnacentral:rRNA from 1 species
CCUACGGGAGGCAGCAGUGGGGAAUAUUGCACAAUGGGGGAAACCCUGAUGCAGCGACGCCGCGUGAGCGAUGAAGUAUUUCGGUAUGUAAAGCUCUAUCAGCAGGGAAGAAAAUGACGGUACCUGACUAAGAAGCCCCGGCUAACUACGUGCCAGCAGCCGCGGUAAUACGCAGGGGGCAAGCGUUAUCCGGAUUUACUGGGUGUAAAGGGAGCGUAGACGGCGAUGCAAGCCAGAUGUGAAAGCCCGGGGCUCAACCCCGGGACUGCAUUUGCAACUGUAUAGCUGGAGUGUCGGAGAGGCAGGCGGAAGUCCUAGUGUAGCGGUGAAAGGCGUAGAUAUUAGGAGGAACACCAGUGGCGAGGGCGGACUGCUGGACGAUGACUGACGUUGAGGAUCGAAAGCGUGGGGAGGAAACAGGAUUAGAUACCCAGUAGUC